UACGUAGGCAGCAAGCGUUGUUCGGAGUUACUGGGCGUAAAGGGCUCGUAGGCGGCCAACUAAGUCAGACGUGAAAUCCCUCGGCUUAACCGGGGAACUGCGUCUGAUACUGGAUGGCUUGAAUCCGGGAGAGGGAUGCAGAAUUCCAGGUGUAGCGGUGAAAUGCGUAGAUAUCUGGAGGAAUACCGGUGGCGAAGGCGGCAUCCUGGACCGGCAUUGACGCUGAAGCGCGAAAGCUAGGGGAGCAAACGGG
rnacentral:rRNA from 1 species